AAUGUCACCACCAGUAUAAGGCAUGGGGGCAGAAGUGAUUGUUGGUGUUCUUUCUUUGGGGUGUUCUGGGCGGCCAGAGACGUAAAGGCCAUUGCUGAGCUGGUGAGAUGGGAAUCUAGAACCCAUUAAAUCGUUUUCCCAAGUCUGAGAGAGUGAGAAAAGAGGAGUUGCAGUCCGUACUAGCUAGUCGGUAAGCAUCACCAUCGCCAAAUUCAGAGUAAAUAAUGAGAUUUCAACCUAAAGUAAAAGGAGC
rnacentral:misc_RNA from 1 species